rfam:Fonticula alba strain ATCC 38817 mitochondrial scaffold supercont2.211, whole genome shotgun sequence.
AUGCUUGUAGCUUAACUGGAUAGAGCGUUAGAAUACGAAUCUAAAGGUUAGAAGUUCGAAUCUUCUCAGGCAUA